rnacentral:rRNA from 1 species
GUAAGGUGAUAUGAACCGUUAUAACCGGCGAUGUCCGAAUGGGGAAACCCAGUGCAAUUCGUUGCACUAUCGUUAACUGAAUACAUAGGUUAACGAGGCGAACCGGGGGAACUGAAACAUCUAAGUACCCCGAGGAAAAGAAAUCAACCGAGAUUCCCCCAGUAGCGGCGAGCGAACGGGGAGCAGCCCAGAGUCUGAAUCAGCUUGUGUGUUAGUGGAACGGUCUGGAAAGUCCGACGGUACAGGGUGAUAGUCCCGUACACCAAAAUGCACAGGUUGUGAACUCGAAGAGUAGGGC